rnacentral:rRNA from 1 species
GUUGUCAUGCCAAUGGCACUGCCCGGUAGCUAAAUGCGGAAGAGAUAAGUGCUGAAAGCAUCUAAGCACGAAACUUGCCCCGAGAUGAGUUCUCCCUGACUCCUUGAGAGUCCUGAAGGAACGUUGAAGACGACGACGUUGAUAGGCCGGGUGUGUAAGCGCAGCGAUGCGUUGAGCUAACCGGUACUAAUGAACCGUGAGGCUUAACCUUACAACGCCGAAGGUGUUU